rnacentral:lncRNA from 1 species
CCAAUGAGCCUAACCAAAUUAGUGUGUUGAAGUUUAGCAAUCAAAAUAGUUUCAUUCUUAAACUCAACCAAUCCUUGUCCUGAAUUCUUUGACAGUCUUUUAAUGGCUACUUCUUGCCCAUCUGUCAAAACUCCCUUAUAAACAGGUCCGAAGCCACCUUGUCCCAGCUUACACUCUUCACCAAAAUUAUUCGUAGCAGAGAGUAUGGUUUCGAAGUCAAAAAAUUGCAAUUCGGGGUUCUUUUUUCCAUCUCUAAUUUGUAUGAUCAUUAUUCUUAAUAUGUUGUAACCUUCGGAUAUCAUCCCCAUCCCCCGAAGAAAACCUUUCUUUACUUUUCCGAUAGCUGUGGGUUAAGACAAAAACAAUCAUUAUGUAAUAUAUCCAACGGAAUUAAAUAUAAUGUGGGUUUUCUUUAAUAAUAAAAAUAUAAAGAAACAAUAUACCUUUGAAUAUUUGUGUUCUCCAUUUGGUGUAUAUAAUAAAACAGAGUAGGAGAAAAGUUGCAGGUAUGGUUAGAGCCACAGUUAUUUGAACCCAAACCUUCCAUUUUCCUGCAUGACGAUUAAGCUAAUUAAUUAGAAGUAAACCCAAGAUUCAAAAUUUUCAUUUUGCAUUAACAUUACUACAGUUUUUUAGUUUAUUUUUAAUUAACUCGAUGGUAACCCACCUGUAACUAUUCUCUAUAUAACUGAAAUAAUAAGUGUAGUGAUAAAAGUGUCCUUCGGCCCCCCUUUAAAACCAGAUUCCUUCUAAAUUAAUUUUAUUGAACUUUAAAGCUUUCCGUUAACAUAACAAAAUUUCCAGAAAGUAUGUCUAUCUUUGUUCUUUCGUAAUAAAAUUUUUCUUCCUAAUUCGAACUGGGUGUCUCUCUUUCGUUUGUCAAUUUUUGCAACAUAAAAAUUGAACUAGGUUAGUUUUUGGGGGAAAAAAAUACUAAUUUAUUAGCAUGUGUUUACUACUAAAAAACAACACUCGAAUAUCAAUUUAAUAAUUAACGUAGCUAUCUACUUUGUGAAUGUUUAAGUCUAUAUGGGAAAAAAAAAAGAAGAAAAGAAAGAGAAAGAAAGAAUCAAAGUGUAGGAUUAGAUAUGGAAUAAUCUGAUGCAAGUAACCUUACCAUUUGGAGACUCGUCAUUUGUGUUUGAAAACUCGUGAUCUGUGUCUAGAAACUCGCUAUCUGUGUCCAGUGACCAAAGCAUUUGUAAACUGUCGUUCUCUGGAAUAAAGUUGGCACCUGACUUCCAAAACUCACAGCCGGAGUCACUCUCGUACGCUGGAAUCCCAAAAGCGAUGCAAUCGCAAUCAUUAAUGCAAAUACUGCGGCACUCAAACAUGGUUAAGUUUCCACUUAGUUUGUAGUAAUAAUCAGAACCAUUAAUCCUCUCCAACUCGUAACCAUUAAUCUGCGAAAUGUACGGACCAUAGCCAUGAGACAACUUAUUCCUGCACUCCGGUAUUUUGUCCAGCUCUCUCCACACACAAGCACCACGGAUCUCAUUCGAAGUCAAGAGGCAGGGAGAGUCAUAUAUUUCAUUGUUGAUUCUAACAUUCCCAUUAUUUUCUAAUCUGAUUUGGGAUAAAAUAAGUUCCCCUGACUCUCCGUGAUAAUAUGAAUUUCUAUACAGAGAAUAUCCAUUGGGUUCCCGGGCGUAGUAAAUGAAAUACGUUUCGUUCUCAUUCGAAACUCGAACGAAAUUGAAUCCUUUAUCUUUUUCCAAGAAUUCGAACGAACCCUCUUUCCAAUUCCCAGUCCUCCAAAGCAGUUCUCCUCGGACACAAACCACUAACUCAUAUGUAUUGUUCGGAUUCAUUCCCAGACUCAAACCUCCCGGCUUCGGAGAUUUAUAGUUUCGCCAUGAUAUUAAUGACCAAGUGGAGUUAGUUUUGUGAUUGAUCCCAAUUUUCAUUCCGGGAAGCAGAGUAUCUGUUGGAUGAUCAAAACUCUGCCACACAAUCUGCUUUACUGACCCAUCUCUGUUCAGCUCUCGUAGUACAAAGUUGCCGUUGUCUUGUAAUAUGGCGCUGCUGGUGGUCGGUUGUCCGCCAUUGAAAAGUGAAAAGGAACAAUUCCCACUUUGGAUUUUCAAGCUGCCGUUGACGUCAAUUGUGAGGCUGAUCGAAGCAGAAUUGUUGGGAAAUGGGGAGUUUCGAUUGGCUAUCCAGAUUGGUUUCUGGUCAUUUGUGUUGUCGGAAAUUCCCAAAUAAAUGGAAUUAGAACUUGGAGGAAUGUAAAAUGCUAGAAUAAAAGUGGCGGUGGAUGAAAUUAAUUGAGAACCAAUUGAUAGGUGUUGGCCUUGAGCAAGAACAUCAUUUGCUAGUGUGGUGUGGCCAUGGGAAAACUUGGCCAUGAAAAGCGCUACAAAGAAACAGCAGAAUAGAAUUAAGAGUUGAGGAAAUAGAAACAUGGUUGUUUAGGUAAAAGCAUAUAAUGAUAGAUUAUUUCAAUUAUGUCCUAACACCACUUCCGUUUUUGAUCUUAUGAACUCAAAUAAUAUGAACAUAAGGGGGUCUCCAUUUGUGUUACUUGGAAAUAUUAGAUCAUGAAAGGAACUUUUGGCUCGCCUUGACCCACCAUCAUUGAAAAAUUCAAAGCACUUCCAAUAUAAAAUAGACUGAAUUAGAAGUAGGGUGAAUAUCCUACUGAACAUUCAACUCCGAAAAUAAUAUCUAAGGUGUCUCUGUAGGUCUCUCUGCAUUUUAAAAACUAUUAAAUUACAACAAAAGAUACAAAAGAUAAUGGUCAAUUUGGUAUAGUUUUUCUUUCAAUGAUUAAAUGCAGAGAACACCCUUAAAAACUCCCAAAGUCAGUCAAUGCCUACAUACUUCCUUUUGAUUAUAUUAAAAUGUCUGUUUCUCCAUUAAAAUACAUAAACCAUCUAAUUGACUCAUAGUCAAUCCACAAGAAACGAAUCAAGUCUCUCUUAUUUUUUCUUCUUUCUUUCUUUAUUUCUCCAUUAAAUACAAACCAUCUAACUAGUGGGUUGGGAUAUUUACAUUAUAUGUACAUAAAUAAAUGCAAAAUCAACAAAGUUAUAUUUCAAAUUCUCACUUAUGACCACAUAAAAAAUAUAUUAUCUUUUCAUGAUAUCUUCUUAAUUAAUGAAUUUACUGAAACAUUUAAAGAAAUUUUCUAAAUUUUUAGAUAAUAUAGGACUUUUCCACACACACAAUACUUCCAUGAAAAGUAGAAACUAAACCUUUCAAACUAAUUAAUGAGAUCACGAGUUAUCAAGGAAUGAAAUAUAUCCAUGUCUUCUUGUUGAAUAUAGUAAAAUAAAGAAAAACAAUCUCAAACUAAUUGCAAUACAAUAACAGUAUAAUAUAAUACUCCUACAACUUAUGAUGACAGACAUAAAAUAAUGGCAAUAUAUUUUAAGUUGAUUUGAGAACACAUGAGGGCUUCAUCUAGCAACCAUCACUGAGACUGUCAUUGCAUUCGUUGAGUAAAUGUCCAGUGUUGGUCCUACAGGUCGUAUGAGCUCAUUAUUCACAUCUUCGAUUUCAGGUUCCGAGGAGUUUGGAUUUUGAGCAACAAAAAAAGCUGGUUGUUUGGGAGAUGGGAGUUGAGCAUAAUCGUUGCUGAUCAUGAAAUAAAUAUCCAACAUCGUCGGCAUAAAAGACUGACAUGGAUACAUCUUAAAGCUUUUGGUUUCUGAUCAGAGUUGCACAAACCUGAAUCAAUGAGCUCUUCUCCUCUCCCAUUCACCCAUAAUUCCCAUGCCUGAAAAUACAAUAACCAUAUAGAUAUUGUUUAAAAUCAUUAUAACUUAACUUCACAGACAAAAACAACGACCUUUCUACACUUACAUAUCCUAUGAGAUUGAGUGGUCGUUCUGUGUCAUAAUUAUUGUAGUUUUUUCGACUUGUUACGAUCUCCAAUAACAGUAUUCCAAAGCUGUACACGUCUGACUUUAUUGAGAAAAUGCCCUCCAUUGCAUAUUCCGGUGAUAUAUAGCCACUACAGCAUAGAAUAUUAUUGUACAUUUAACUUAGUUUUCUAAUAUAAACAUCAUCCCUGUGUUACUAAGAAUUUAUACCAUAUAUAUAUAUAUAUAUGUAUAUAUAUAAAAGAUUGAUCACUUACUAUGUACCAACCACCCGACCUGUAUUUGCUUCAUGCUCUGAUGGUUUGAACACUCUAGCCAUACCAAAAUCUGAUAUUUUUGCAUUCAUCUCAUCAUCAAGUAAGAUAUUGCUAACUUUUAAAUCUCGAUGAAUUAUUCGAACUCUUGAGUAGUGGUGAAGAUAAAGUAAUCCUUGAACUAUCCCUUGAAUAACAUGUAAGCGUUUUUUCCAAUCUAAUAUUAACUUCUUCUCCAAGUCUGCAAAUACUCCCCAACCACAGAAAAAGAAAAACAUAUACUAUAAAUGGAUACAUAGUAGAGAAUAGUUGAUAAUCAAAGAGAUCAAGACACUGUAUAAUUAAACAAACGUAAAAAAAGACUAAUUUACCAAAGAGGAAGAAAUCAAGGCUUUUGUUGGGCAUAUACUCAUAAACCAACAAUUUCUCAUCUUUAUGAAGGCAGCAACCAAUGAGCCUAACCAAAUUAGUGUGUUGAAGUUUAGCAAUCAAAAUAGUUUCAUUCUUAAACUCAACCAAUCCUUGUCCUGAAUUCUUUGACAGUCUUUUAAUGGCUACUUCUUGCCCAUCUGUCAUAACUCCCUGCAGUACAAUAUAAUUAAUCAAUAAUUGUUACAACCCAAAGUAUAUAUAUAUACAUAUAUAUUAUUAAAAGAUUAAAUCCCAUAUAAUAAUAUAUAUAAGCUAGAGUUAAUUAACUUAAUUUAUAAUAUGUAUUACCUUAUAAACAGGUCCAAAACCACCUUUUCCAAGCUUACAUUCAUCUCCAAAAUUAUUCGUAGCAGAAACUAUGGUUUCAAAGUCAAAAAACUGCAAUUCAGGAUUCUUUUUCCAGUCUGUUAUCUGUCUGAUCAUUAUUCCUAAUAUCUUACAAUCUUCG